rnacentral:misc_RNA from 1 species
GAUGAAGAACGUAGCGAAAUGCGAUAAGUAAUGUGAAUUGCAGAAUUCAGUGAAUCAUCGAAUCUUUGAACGCACAUUGCGCCCGCCAGUAUUCUGGCGGGCAUGCCUGUUCGAGCGUCAUUUCAACCAUCAAGCCCCCGGCUUGUGUUGGGGACCUGCGGCUGCCGCAGGCCCUGAAAACCAGUGGCGGGCUCGCUGUCACACCGAGCGUAGUAGAUUUUCAUCUCGCUCAGGGCGUGCUGCGGGUUCCGGCCGUAAAAAGCCUUAUUUACCCAAGGUUGACCUCGGUUCAGGUAGGAAGACCCGCUGAACUUAAGCAUAUCAAUAAGCGGAGGA